CGAUAUUGUUGGUCGAGAAAAAAUUGCUGGCUAGCGUUUUGGAUAUUGCUGGCCGAGAAAUUUACCCUCGAAUAUUUUUUUUUAUUGCCACAUGGCAACUGAUUAUUCGUUCACAUGUAUAAAUAAUUGGCUAGGAAUGGUGGUAUGAUGUUACUUUAAAAGAUGCACGUACCCAUAUAUAUAUAUAUAUAUUAGUCCUACUAUGUUGACAAAGUAUUCUGUAAUUUUAUAGUCUGCAUUAUUGAUGUUGCAAAGACUAACAAUCCCCAAAGUCAGCUUCCUUAGCAAUAGAAGUUAAUUGCAGCACUUACUACUCUCUAUUAUUCAGUGUUUGAUGGAUGAAGAGUACGAAGAACGUGAAGGUAUGCCGUCAGUCCAAAGAGGUGGAAAUGGGUUGGACUCGUAUUCUUCAAUAACAGGAUUUGGGUGAAGCAGCUUUGGCAUAUGUGGAAUUAGAAAAGGGAUGGGUUUUGUAUGAGGAAUCAUUAGGCCAACACAAAAUCACAACUCUUCUCAAACACUUCGUAUCGCCGUCGAGUUGGUUAUCAUUAGAUACAGUUUUGGGGAGUAGUGAAAGUGGAGGGGGCCAUCAAUUCAUGGCGUGAUUUUGAUGAUGGUACGCAUCACUAUCUUCAAUUUUGUGAAUUUCACAAGCCUCAAAUAGAUCUUAUUAGUUGGCAUUCAACUUUAUGUGGUCUAACUAUAUCUGAAAAUUCGUUAGCACACUAUGUCCGGAGGGCUAUGUUGUCCCAUUGCAUUGCACUUGCUCAUCAAAGCAAUAGCAAUAACUUGUGCUAUGUCAUUCAAUUUUUUCUUCGACCAAAGUAUACACGAGAUGAUGAUUCUCUACACUUGCUCUUGAGGAUAUUGGAGAUAAAUCUCAAGAGUGUAAGUGUGAUGUUUGUAUCUGGGAAACAACUUGUAGAGGAAUAUGCAAGGCGUGAUGCAAUAGAAUGCGAUUCAAUUGAUAGUUUAAGCUUGAUGAUGAUGUCUUCCAAGCAAAACGUUUUGGAGUUGGACAUGACAACAUAUUUGAAGACGGUUGACUCGUGUUGCCUAAAACCUUAUUCCAUGGGUGCGGACAAAGGAUGGGUUUUUCGCUUCCCAGCUAGACAAAGUGUAUGUGAAAAACACGUGAAAAGUAACUCAUCAUUGAUCAAGGAGAAGAUGGAAAGUUUCAUGAAGAAAAUAGCAACAAAAAAUUGGAAACACAAUAAAUGGAUAGUCCAAUUUUGGGGCAAAAUAGGUGCUAUUUAGAAACUUCAUAUCAACCUUAUGCUAUUGGUUGUCUUGCAAAGGGUAUAACUGCUUUUAGAAAACAAUGUUCAACACAUUACUAUUUUGUGGACGACCAAGCCAAACAAGAUGAGCUCGGACCCCCCGGACGUGUCUUUAUAUUCGAACACCCUGAAAUCAGCCCUGACCUCUUGUACUAUGCCAUAGAAGAAUUUUCAGUAAAAAAACUUUGCAAUGCUUUGUUGUAAUCGUGGAUACUUGGUUUUACCUGUAUUUGAUGAUGAAGAAGACACAGGAAGUCAGAAGCUAGUGAGUGUUCUAGAUUUCCUAGGAUUUUCUUAUCCUGGCCUUCGAAGCUUUGGAAAACAACUGAAGGCAGCAACACUGGGCUCACCUCACGUAGACUUCCACCCAAGAUUCUUAGCAAAUGAACCUGUCAAUGUAUGCUUUUGACACAAUUUUAGAUUCAUAAUUGUAUCAAUAAAUUACUAUGUUCUAUUUUCCACAGAUUGUCAAUUGCAGGAAAAAAGCUUUGAAAGAAAUCCGCAAUGCCCUUAAAUUAAUUUAAAAAAUUCCCCAUUUUGGAUCCCUACCGGAGAAUGUGUUAGUACUACUAAUGCUAACAGGUGUUGCAUGGAGCUGGCAUUGUCUACAAAGUAUUACUGGAUUCAUGUUCAAGCCCGAAAAGGGAUUAUUGGGAUGGUAUUGGCAUCGGAAGACAAAUCAUGUUUUUGUUCAAAUUUAAGUGAAUUUAGCAUAGUCGACCAACCUCUGUCACACUAUGACAUGAGCGAUCGACAUGAUUCUUGUUUUGCAAUUUGUUUGCAAAGUUCACAUACUGGUAACCUUGUUUAUGUUGUGGAGCUCUUUCUCUACCAAGGUCCUACAAUAUAUAAGUAUGUUGGAUCCUUCUUGAGCCUUCUUCUAUUGGCAAUACUAGAGCAUCAAUUAAGGUCAUUUAAGAUGGCAUGCGGGAAGCAAAUAGGAGAGGAAUUGGUGGUCGAAGUUAUUGAAUUUUCUGAUGCAAACAAACUUGAUUCAGAGCCUCCAUCUGGGUAUCCAGUCAUAUUUAAAAGUGUGCAGUACAAUCAAAAGGAGUCCCAUCACAUUGAAGUACAACAGCAAAAUGAGUAUCAUCAUAAAGAAGAAGAACAACACGCAGAUGAAUGCAAUGAAGAAGAACAACAAAUGGUGUACCAUCAUUCCAAAGGAGAACAACACGCAGAAGAAUGCACUGUUGCUGCUAUACAUUCCAAUACAUGAGAAAGAGAGAGGAGAAAAAACUCCCUUAAUCUUACUGCUGAGGUUCUCGAAUCACAUUUUGGGAAGAAGCUAAAGGAUGUUGCAAAAGAGCUCUGUGUUGGAAGGUCAACAAUAAAGCGUACAUGCAGGGAACAUGGCAUUCGAAGGUGGCCAAACAGAAAAGAACACAAGAAUAAUCCAUCCAUUUUUGAAGAAGAAAGUGCUGCAAAUUCAGAGCAUGAUAUGUUGCAAUCAACCGACAACCUUCAUCCAUUGGAUAUUGUGACACAAAUAAACACAGGAAGUGCAGACAAGGUGAUUGUAAAGGUGAAGUAUAACGAAGAUUUCAUAAAAUUUGAGUUGUCUCUACCAUUACUAGGAUUGGCGACGAGUCUAAAUCAAGUUGAAAUACAUGGAUGAAGAUGGUGAUGAGAUCUUAUUAACCAGAGAAGCUGAUCUGCAACUUUGUCCAAAGACUCGAACAGCAACAGGCGAGCGACUCAUCCGACUGUUGGUUCGAUGACAAGAUUAGCUCCACUUUUUUCGUUCAAUUGAUUUCUAGACAAACGCCUUUGCAAUUGCUUGAAAUUCUGGACUGAAAAUUGGCUUACUGCAAAUUUCGACCCUAGAAUUGCUAAUAAUACUUUGUAUGGUCA